AAUGAACGCUGGCGGCGUGCUUAACACAUGCAAGUCGAACGAGAAAGCUUUAGCUUGCUAGAGCGAGUAAAGUGGCGCACGGGUGAGUAACGCGUGGGUAAUCUGCCCUUGAAUUUGGGAUAACACUUCGAAAGAGGUGCUAAUACCGGAUAACAUCUUUUUCAUUGCGGUGAGGAAGAUCAAAGAUAGCCUCUUCUUGAAAGCUAUUGUUUAAGGAUGAGCCCGCGUACCAUUAGCUUGUUGGUGGGGUAAUGGCCUACCAAGGCGACGAUGGUUAGCUGGUCUGAGAGGAUGAUCAGCCACACUGGAACUGGAACACGGUCCAGACACCUACGGGUGGCUG
rnacentral:rRNA from 1 species